AUUGAACGCUGGCGGCAGGCUUAACACAUGCAAGUCGAACGCUCGUAGCAAUACGGGAGUGGCGGACGGGUGAGUAACGCGUGGGAACGUGCCCUGAGGUACGGAAUAACUGCGGGAAACUGCAGCUAAUACCGUAUGAGCCCCUAACGGGGGAAAGAUUUAUCGCCUUGGGAGCGGCCCGCGUCGGAUUAGCCAGUUGGUGGGGUAACGGCCUACCAAGGCUUCGAUCCGUAGCUGGUCUGAGAGGACGAUCAGCCACACUGGGACUGAGACACGACCCAGACUCCUACGGGAGGCAGCAGUGGGGAAUCUUGCGCAAUGGGGCAACCCUGACGCAGCCAUGCCGCGUGAAUGAUGAAGGCCUUAGGGUUGUAAAGUUCUUUUGCCCGUGACGAUGAUGACGGUAACGGGAGAAUAAGCUCCGGCUAACUUCGUGCCAGCCGCCGCGGUAACAC
rnacentral:rRNA from 1 species